GCGCCAGACACAGGAGCCAGAUUCUCGUCUUGGGUCCCAUCCAGCUUAUCGACCCUGACAAAAAGGAAAAGGGCUCCGCAAAGGAGGACGCCGGUUGACAAGAUCAUCCACAUUUGUACUACGAAUCUGAAUCGCAAAUCAAACAUACUCACCUUUGAUUAAAAGCCGCAAGAAAGACAA